CAACUGUGAAUUGAUCAGGCUAAUCCCAUGCAGGGUGAAGACGAUUGCAGCCUAGUGUUGUCCUUUCAAAAUCCACAGGUUUUGCCGACUGUCUGCUGUGAAAAGCUUGCUAUAAUUUGGUGGCAAACAUGAAGAUGGAGCAUGCAUUUGUGGAAACAGAAAAAAACAUUAUUUGUGGUUGUCCGAAUCCUUGGCUGUGUCCAAGAAGAAGCAUACACCACAGUUCAAGAGGGCCCAUGUUUGUGGGGUGCAGAGGUGGCUUAAUGCCAACCAUGCUGUGGCCAGUCCUCUAGAAUAAGCAUAUUUUGCCAAUGACCCCAAGAAGUUGAUAAGGCAGCUAGGAGACAGCAAGGAGGAGAGAUUUCCCCAGCCACAUCUGUGUUCCCUGGCCAUGCGCCCUAUCCAGGCUAUCGGAAGGAUGAAUGAUAUAACACCACCAGAGGCUCUUCCUACAGUGGGGUGAACCUCCCUUGACCGUCUGUGCUGGAUUUCAGGUCACAGCACUGCCCAGGAUCUCAGUUGUGAUAGUCACUUGACCCUUUGCUCCCACUUACAUUUACACACAGAGAAACAUGAAAAUUUUGUGUCUAGUUUUUUCAUCCCUCACAUGAGUGGUUUUCCCAACACAAAGGGGAAAACACUUUGCAAUAAGAAGAUUUUGAUUUUGGAGUCUUCAGUAUGAUCCACAAAAAAGAAAACCAGAGUGGAAUGAUUCUCCCACUGUAUUAAGCAGGCAGUGAUUGGCCUUUGGGAAGCUCUCAGUAUAUCUUCUUAAAUGCCAGAGUGCACAGAAGAUUACAGGCCAAAAACUGAAGUAAAGGUUCAAGCAUUUCUCCAUGGGAUUGAAAUACCUUUUAUCCUAGAAUUUUUCUUCACAUAAAGUUGCCCAAAUUACUUUUGGGAAUUCACUAAAACUGAAGCUUUCUCUUCUCCUUUGUAGCUUAAGCUAGCACUUGGCUGAAUUUCUCCUGACACUUCACCAGUAUUUCUCUGGAUUUAUUGAAAUUAACAUGAUUCUCAGUCACUUGACAGCAGUUGACUUAAUUUCUGUAGUGGGCUACAAAUAUGUAGUGUAUCCAGAAUCACAGUUUGUAUUUUUAGAUUUUUAUUUUAAAGGCCAAAGAUAAAGGUACUUUCUUUCUGGAGUUGGUACCUUAGGUGUAACAUGUUUAUUAUGCUGAAAACAAAACACAAAGGUAACAGUCUCUGAAUGAAGCAGGAAUUGUAUCGGGACUUCAAGGAUCACACUACAUAGAAUGUUUACUCAUGGAUUAAACAUGCAGACCAUUUACUAAGGACCCUAGACAGUUAAUCAACAAUGUUUUGCCCUAUUCACUUGAAUUAUCUGGUUUCAACAAGAAAAAUAAAACCCACUCCUGCUUCUUGUAUUACUUGAUUCAUAAAGUAAAAUUUAAAAAAAGUAAAAUUUGGAUAGCUUUUAAAUGAAGUUUACAUAGCAUGACUGCUGGCCAAGUCUCUUAGGCUAAAAAUUCAGAUUCAGUAUUCAGAGAGCUCCCUAAUAAUGUCUGGAAGUCAGACACAUUGUGCUGUCAUCUUGUCAGAUCUCACAAACCUGAGUAAGGCUAGGCAAAUGCUUGAAUGGGAGACCAAUAGAGAACACAUAAGUACUACAGGAAACAUUGAUUUGCUAGAUAGAAUUUCCUUCUGAAGUUACUGAACCAAUGAUCUAAUACACUUUGAAUUAGACAUUAAACUGAGUGUCACUAAGAAUCAGAAGGUAGGGAUGAUAACGCCAAGUUCCUGGCCAAUUUCCAGCUCAGCAAUUUACAUUGUGCCUUCUCAAA